UACGAAGGGGGCUAGCGUUGCUCGGAAUCACUGGGCGUAAAGCGCACGUAGGCGGCUUCUUAAGUCAGGGGUGAAAUCCUGGAGCUCAACUCCGGAACUGCCUUUGAUACUGAGGGUCUUGAGUCCGGGAGAGGUGAGUGGAACUGCGAGUGUAGAGGUGAAAUUCGUAGAUAUUCGCAAGAACACCAGUGGCGAAGGCGGCUCACUGGCCCGGUACUGACGCUGAGGUGCGAAAGCGUGGGGAGCAAACAGG
rnacentral:rRNA from 1 species